CGACUGGCGACCGGCGCACGGGUGAGUAACACGUAUCCAACCUGCCUCAUACUCGGGGAUAGCCUUUCGAAAGAAAGAUUAAUACCCGAUGGUAUAAUCAGACCGCAUGGUCUUGUUAUUAAAGAAUUUCGGUUAUCGAUGGGGAUGCGUUCCAUUAGGCAGUUGGUGAGGUAACGGCUCACCAAACCUUCGAUGGAUAGGGGUUCUGAGAGGAAGGUCCCCCACAUUGGAACUGAGACACGGUCCAA
rnacentral:rRNA from 1 species